UACGUAGGGUGCAAGCGUUAAUCGGAAUUACUGGGCGUAAAGCGUGCGCAGGCGGUCUGUUAAGACCGAUGUGAAAAUCCCCGGGCUUAACCUGGGAACUGCAUUGGUGACUGGCAGGCUUUGAGUGUGGCAGAGGGAGGUAGAAUUCCACGUGUAGCAGUGAAAUGCGUAGAGAUGUGGAGGAAUACCGAUGGCGAAGGCAGCCUCCUGGGCCAACACUGACGCUCAUGCACGAAAGCGUGGGGAGCAAACAGGAUUAGAU
rnacentral:rRNA from 1 species